GUUUGUAUAUACUAAAGUUUGAAUAGUUGAUGAUUUUGUAAGAAAAUAAGUAAAAUGGACAGUACCUAGCUAAUUGAUUGCAGUCCAAGGGAAAGCAAUCUUAUAGGCAAUAUUUGACAUUAUUAUCGUCUAAUGCUUUGUUUUUUUAGGUUUCUUGUCGCAUAGACUCCCCAGAAGAUGCUGCUCUCUUAAUAGAUUCCAACACAAAACUCAAGCUAGGAACUGGUAUACAAAUUGCAGUUCCUAUUCCGAAAGAACAUUUUGCUUCUGGAAGCUUUGUUGAAUCUGCAAUACAGAGAGCCUUGACUGAAGCAAGGGAACAAAACAUAAGGGGAAGUGCUGAAACCCCAUUCUUGCUUUCAAAAGUAAACGAAUUAACUGGAGGAGCUUCAUUGACUUCUGAUAUCGCUCUUGUGAAGAAUAAUGCAGCUGUAGGUUCCAAGAUUGUUGUUUGUCACCUUGGUCCUAGAAUUAGACAGCAUCAUUGUUACCCAUUUAUCGCUUUGAAAGUUUAUAUUUGCUUAUGCAACUCCGCUACAGGUUGCUGCUCAGCAAGGUACCUAUCUAGCUGUUCUGUUUCAAUCCCUGCUCGAACACAUUAUCCAUUCCCCCACGUCUCCACUCCCCACCAAAUUGUAGUUACUAAAACUAGGCUAGAUGCUUGUUACUUGUUAGUCUCCCCAGCAAUCUAGCAGGGUAGUGAACUUAAAGUAGUUAGAUUAAAAUAUUGGUCUGGCUAGAUGCUUGUUAGUUUCUUAUCUUGAGUUUAAAUAUUAGGUUUUCAUCAUUUAGCUCGAGGAUGUUCCCCAACAAUCUAGCACGGUAGUGAUCUUAAAGUAGUUACAUAAAUUAUUCAUCUGGCUGGAUCCUUGUUAGUUUCUCAUCUCAAGUUCAAAAAUUAGGCUUUCAUUGUUUAGCUAGAGGAUGUGAAAUUUGCAUGAAUACAAAUUGGGUUUUGGGACACAAUCCGUGCCUCCACAGUCUAUACUAAUGGAGGGGUAAGUGAGUAGGCAUUGAGGUUUGCAUUCAACACGGCUCCCUGGGACAUCAUAUGACCAUCUACACUUCCUUGGUUUUGAAAUCAUCUUUACAACCAAAACAAAAUUGGGGAUAAAUACCUAAAAUCUGAAUUGGACUUGGAUAUAUGAGUUGGAAUUUAGGCUUUUAUUGGACCCCAUUGUUAUUUUCUUCUAUAUGAUCUAGAGAUGCUAGUAAUCUUAGAUUUUGAACAUCUUGAUUUU